rnacentral:rRNA from 1 species
UACGUAGGGGGCGAGCGUUGUCCGGAAUUAUUGGGCGUAAAGAGCUCGUAGGCGGUUCGGCAAGUCACGUGUGAAAUCUCCACGCUCAACGUGGAGGCGUCACGUGAGACUGCUGUGACUCGAGUCCGGUAGGGGAGCGUGGAAUUCCCGGUGUAGCGGUGAAAUGCGCAGAGAUCGGGAGGAACACCCGUAGCGAAGGCGGCGCUCUGGGCCGGUACUGACGCUGAGGAGCGAAAGCGUGGGGAGCAAA